rnacentral:rRNA from 1 species
AGCGAACGCUGGCGGCGUGCUUAACACAUGCAAGUCGAGUGCGUAGCCCUUUGUAGCAAUACAGAGGGUGGGCGCACGGCGCACGGGUGAGUAACACGUGGGUAACCUGCCCUUCGGUGGGGAAUAACCCGCGAAAGCGGGGCUAAUUCCGCAUAACAUUCCGGGGACACAUGUUCUCGGACUCAAAGGAGUGAUUCGCCGGAGGAGGGGCCCGCGCCCGAUUAGCUUGUUGGUAGGUAACGGCCACCAAGGCUUUGAUCGGUAGCCGGUCUGAGAGGAUGGCCGGCCACACUGGAACUGAGACACGGUCCAGACUCCUACGGGAGGCA